UACAGAGGUCCCAAGCGUUGUUCGGAUUCACUGGGCGUAAAGGGUGCGUAGGCGGUUGGGUAAGUCCGAUGUGAAAUCUCACAGCUUAACUGUGAAACUGCAUUGGAUACUAUCCGGCUCGAGGAAUGGAGGGGAGACUGGAAUACUUGGUGUAGCAGUGAAAUGCGUAGAUAUCAAGUGGAACACCAGUGGCGAAGGCGAGUCUCUGGACAGUUCCUGACGCUGAGGCACGAAAGCCAGGGGAGCAAACGGG
rnacentral:rRNA from 1 species